CCCACUCUCCUCCUCCUUUUAUAACAACAUCAAACGUCUUAUCCAAAAGAAAAGAUAAAGAUGAGUAAUUGCACAUUUGAAUUCAAAUCAAAUUUUGAAUUCAAAUGGACACCAACUCAUCCCUUAUCCACUAAAGACGUGAGGCGUGGCUUAAAUUGUGCAUGGAGUGAUUUCAUGAGAAACCUUUUCUCAUGUAAUAAAU
rnacentral:lncRNA from 1 species